AUGGCAACGGAAAAUGAAAGCGAUUUUCACAUUUCAGAGACUGCUUCCAAAACCGAAAAGUCUAAAAAGGAGUUCGUGUGGAGCCAGCAGGCUACCUGGCUGCUCCUGCGCACGCGCCUCUCCAUGGACGCCGACUUCAACCGGCCCGUCUGCAAGAUGAAGAAGCUGUGGGCGACGGUGGCCGAAAGGGUGACGGCGAAGCUGCGGGAGCUGGGCGACGACGUCACCGUGAAGGCCCACGAGUGCGACAGCAAGUGGCGGAACAUGAUGUCGACGUACCGCAAGAACGCCGAGAGGGCGAAGAGACGGGGCGCUCAGAUCGUGCACUGGGAAUUCUUCCAGGCCAUGCAUGACGUUCUGGGCAAGGCCGCCGAUGACUCGGACGAGCAGAGGAACGGUCAGCUCAGCAAGAAGCUGGCGACCGUCAUGGCAAGUAAAAAAUUCACGCCAAUCCUUCCGACUCCUCCCCUGCCCCCCACGCCUUCCCCCUCCCCCGCGCCUUCGAGGCCCCCCCAGGACGUUCUACAGCUGUACCUCGAGCUGCAGGAGCGCAAGAUGGAUCUCUGGACCCAACAGAAGGAUCUCGAGGAGAGAAAGAUAGAAGCUAUAAAUAAUCUGGCCAGAGCCAUCUCUAGUCUGGCUGCUGAGCGCAGCUCCCACAGCGUCACCGGGGACAGUGGGUAGACGGCUCAUUGUAAAGAAUAGCUGUGAACGUUGGUACGUCUUCAGGUCAUUUUUCGAACCGCUUUCCACGGUCGAAAGGUCGUGGCAAUGCCGGCCGAAACCCUUGGAAAUGCCGCUUUCUGCAACGAGCAUGAAUGGCAGAAAGACCACGAAGGUACACACAUCAUUAAAUUUUCACCUCGUUCUUGCCUCUUGGAAUGAAAUCUCUAAUUAUUUUUGAUUGGACUGAUUUAGUUAGCUUGUCUACGACUCAUCUUGCAGCCAAGCGACUGAAAAUUGUCAUUUAACUGUUUCUUUUCAAGGUUUUCACCCUCAUGCCUUUGCGCACAGUAAACCGAUGACUGAAUAUUUCUGUGUCGCUGGAGUCAAAUGUGUGUCGCAAAAGUGACCGACGUCACAGCCUUCAAUAAAUCUUUUUAUUCAUAUGAAACA
rnacentral:lncRNA from 1 species